UACGGAGGGUGCGAGCGUUGUCCGGAAUUAUUGGGCGUAAAGGGCGCGUAGGCGGCCAUGCGUGUCUUCCGUGAAAUCCCUCGGCUUAACUGAGGACGUGCGGAAGAAACUGCAAGGCUCGAGUCCGGGAGAGGGGGGUGGAAUUCCCAGUGUAGCGGUGAAAUGCGUAGAUAUUGGGAGGAACACCGGUGGCGAAGGCGGCCCCCUGGACCGGUACUGACGCUGAGGCGCGAAAGCGUGGGUAGCAAACGGG
rnacentral:rRNA from 1 species